AACGAACGCUGGCGGCAUGCCUAACACAUGCAAGUCGAACGAAGCCUUCGGGCUUAGUGGCGCACGGGUGCGUAACGCGUGGGAAUCUGCCCCUUGCUUCGGAAUAACAGUUAGAAAUGACUGCUAAUACCGGAUGAAGUCUUCGGACCAAAGAUUUAUCGGCAAGGGAUGAGCCCGCGUAGGAUUAGGUAGUUGGUGGGGUAAAGGCCUACCAAGCCGACGAUCCUUAGCUGGUCUGAGAGGAUGAUCAGCCACACUGGGACUGAGACACGGCCCAGACUCCUACAGGAGGCAGCAGUGGGGAAUAUUGGAGAAUGGACGCAAGUCUGAUCCAGCAAUGCCGCGUGAGUGAUGAAGGCCUUAGGGUUGUAAAGCUCUUUUACCAGGGAUGAUAAUGACAGUACCUGGAGAAUAAGCUCCGGCUAACUCCGUG
rnacentral:rRNA from 1 species